CUGGGCAUGGCUCAGUGGUUAAGAGCACUGAGUUACCUGGGUUCAAUUCCCAGCACUCACA
rnacentral:tRNA from 1 species